UCGUACUGCCAGGAAGCUCCGCAGUCACCGACAGGACCAGAAAUGGCAUGAUAAACAGUAUAAGAAAGCCCAUUUGGGUACAGCCCUCAAGGCCAACCCUUUUGGAGGUGCUUCCCAUGCCAAGGGGAUUGUGCUGGAGAAAGUAGGGGUUGAAGCCAAACAACCGAAUUCUGCCAUCAGAAAGUGUGUCAGGGUCCAACUAAUCAAGAAUGGCAAGAAGAUCACA